CCUACGGGAGGCAGCAGUAGGGAAUCUUCCGCAAUGGACGAAAGUCUGACGGAGCAACGCCGCGUGGGUGAAGAAGGCCUUCGGGUCGUAAAGCCCUUUCGGACGGGACGAACGCUCCGCGGUGACAACCCGCGGAGUCUGACGGUACCGUAAGAAGAAGCACCGGCUAACUCCGUGCCAGCAGCCGCGGUAAUACGGAGGGUGCAAGCGUUGUUCGGAAUUACUGGGCGUAAAGCGCGUGUAGGCGGCCUUGCAAGCCAGACGUGAAAGCCCUCGGCUUAACCGGGGAAGUGCGUCUGGAACUGCUCGGCUCGAGUACGGGAGAGGGAGGCGGAAUUCCCAGUGUAGAGGUGAAAUUCGUAGAUAUUGGGAGGAACACCGGUGGCGAAAGCGGCCUCCUGGACCGAUACUGACGCUGAGACGCGAAAGCGUGGGGAGCAAACAGGAUUAGAUACCCUGGUAGUCCACGCGGUAAACGAUGGGCACUAGGUGUGGGGGGUAUCCACUCCUCCCGUGCCGCAGCUAACGCACUAAGUGCCCCGCCUGGGGAGUACGGCCGCAAGGUUAAAACUCAAAGGAAUUGACGG
rnacentral:rRNA from 1 species